GUCAGUGUGGCCGAGUGGUUAAGGCGAUUGACUCGAAUUUUCAUCCAUAUUCGAUAUCAAUUCCAUUCGUGGGCACAGGUUCGAAUCCUGUCGCUGACG
rnacentral:tRNA from 1 species